rnacentral:rRNA from 1 species
GAACACUAGGUGUCGGGGGAAUCGACCCCCUCGGUGUCGUAGCUAACGCGUUAAGUGUUCCGCCUGGGGAGUACGCACGCAAGUGUGAAACUCAAAGGAAUUGACGGGGGCCCGCACAAGCGGUGGAGUAUGUGGUUUAAUUCGAUGCAACGCGAAGAACCUUACCAGGGUUUGACAUCCUGCGAACCUCUAAGAAAUUGGAGGGUGCCUUCGGGAACGCAGUGACAGGUGGUGCAUGGCUGUCGUCAGCUCGUGUCGUGAGAUGUUGGGUUAAGUCCCGCAACGAGCGCAACCCACGUUUUUAGUUGCCAGCAUUUAGUUGGGCACUCUAGAAAGACCGCCGGUGAUAAACCGGAGGAAGGUGUGGACGACGUCAAGUCAUCAUGCCCCUUACAUCCUGGGCUACACACGUACUACAAUGCUACGGACAAAGGGCAGCAAACUCGCGAGAGCAAGCAAAUCCCAUAAACCGUGGCUCAGUUCAGAUCGUAGGCUGCAACUCGCCUACGUGAAGGAGGAAUCGCUAGUAAUCGCAGGUCAGCAUACUGCGGUGAAUACGUUCCCGGGCCUUGUACACACCGCCCGUCACACCAUGGAAGUUGGCCACGCCCGAAGUCGUU